rnacentral:rRNA from 1 species
GCAGCGAAACGCGAUAGUUAAUGUGAAUUGCAGAAUUCAGUGAAUCAUCGAGUCUUUGAACGCACAUUGCGCCCAUCGGUAUUCCUUUGGGCACGUCUGUUUGAGCGUCAUUUCAACCCUUCGGCUGACAUCUUUGUCUCCGGUCGUGGGCCGGGUAGGACCGUCAGGUCACCCGCCUGAAAUCUGCGCUCUGCGGCCCGGCUUCCGGCGAAAACAAAGUAAAAUUUGCCUGUUUUCCGUUCGGUUUUUCGGCUGUCCGCCUGAACAAGAACCCAUUUCUAAGGUUUGACCUCAGAUCAGACGAGGAUACCCGCUGAACUUAAGCAUAUCAAUAAGCGGAGGAAAAGAAACCAACCGGGAUUGCCUCAGUAACGGCGAGUGAAGCGGCAAGAGCUCAAAUUUGAAAUCUGGUGUCUUCGACGCCCGAGUUGUAAUUUGAAGAGGAUGCCUCGGUUGCGGUCCCGGCCUAAGUUCCUUGGAACAGGACGUCGCAGAGGGUGAGAAUCCCGUACGCGGCUGGGGGCUUGCUUCCAUGUG